AACGAACGCUGGCGGCAUGCCUAACACAUGCAAGUCGAACGAGACCUUCGGGUCUAGUGGCGCACGGGUGCGUAACGCGUGGGAACCUGCCCUUAGGUUCGGAAUAACUCCCCGAAAGGGGUGCUAAUACCGGAUAAUGUCUUCGGACCAAAGAUUUAUCGCCUUUGGAUGGGCCCGCGUUGGAUUAGCUAGUUGGUAGGGUAAAAGCCUACCAAGGCGACGAUCCAUAGCUGGUCUGAGAGGAUGAUCAGCCACACUGGGACUGAGACACGGCCCAGACUCCUACGGGAGGCAGCAGGGGGGAAUAUUGGACAAGGGGCGAAAGCCUGAUCCAGCAAGGCCGGGGGAGUGAUGAAGGCCUUAGGGUUGUAAAGCUCUUUUACCCGGGAUGAUAAUGACAGUACCGGGAGAAUAAGCCCCGGCUAACUCCGG
rnacentral:rRNA from 1 species